rnacentral:misc_RNA from 1 species
GAUGAAGAACGCAGCGAAACGCGAUAUGUAAUGUGAAUUGCAGAAUUCAGUGAAUCAUCGAAUCUUUGAACGCACAUUGCGCCCGCCAGUAUUCUGGCGGGCAUGCCUGUUCGAGCGUCAUUUCAACCCUCAAGCACAGCUUGGUGUUGGGACUCGCGUUAAUUCGCGUUCCCCAAAUUGAUUGGCGGUCACGUCGAGCUUCCAUAGCGUAGUAGUAAAACCCUCGUUACUGGUAAUCGUCGCGGCCACGCCGUUAAACCCCAACUUCUGAAUGUUGACCUCGGAUCAGGUAGGAAUACCCGCUGAACUUAAGCAUAUCAAUAAGCGGAGGA